CAAAAUACAAUAUAGUAACAAAGAAAACAACCCCGCCCUUAGUUGUUUCGUGACCUCCAAUUAUAGACAAACUUAAUCAGAGGCUUAUCAGGAAGGCAAUCACCUCUUUUUUCCACCACUCAGAUAUGUUGAAAGGAAAUUUUAUUCUUGACCUGUUUUCCAAAUUCUGUUAUACAACACGGGGAGGAUUUUGCUACAAAGAAGAUGACAUUGGAUUUUCGCAUAGAUGAGACAUUCAAAGAUUUCAUUGUUUUGAGCUCCUACAAAACUUCAACAAUUGCUACAUGACAUGUAUCAAAAGUGUUGAGACAGAUCUAUGAAGGAAAUUUUGGUUUUCAGCCAAAAGUAUGUUUUCUUGUGAGAGGUAGGGAAUGAUUUUUAGUAAAACAAUAAGUAUUAAUCUAUGAAAAAGUGAUGAUUAGUUGUAUUACCUUUUGAUUUAGAUUUGUAUGUUCAACGAUAUUAUUGAUGUGAUGAGAGGUAAAAAGUUGCAAGUUAAGCCAGGAAUUAUGAUAAAACUUCUCG